rnacentral:miRNA from 1 species
GGGCCGCCGGGCCGGGCUGGGCUGUGCUGGGGAGCUGGCCCCGCCUCGUGGGCGCCCCC